AGCGAACGCUGGCGGCAGGCUUAACGCAUGCAAGUCGAACGGUCCUUCGGGAUAGUGGCGGACGGGUGAGUAACACGUGGGAACGUGCCCUUAGGUUCGGAGCAACACAGGGAAACUUGUGCUAAUACCGGAUGUGCCCUUCGGGGGAAAGAUUUAUCGCCUUUGGAGCGGCCCGCGUCUGAUUAGCUAGUUGGUGAGGUAAAGGCUCACCAAGGCGACGAUCAGUAGCUGGUCUGAGAGGAUGGCCAGCCACAUUGGGACUGAGACACGGCCCAAACCCCUACGGGAGGCAGCAGUGGGGAAUCUUGCGCAAUGGGCGAAAGCCUGACGCAGCCAUGCCGCGUGGAUGAUGAAGGUCUUAGGAUUGUAAAAUCCUUUCAGCGGGGACGAUAAUGACGGUACCCGCAGAAGAAGCCCCGGCUAACUUCGUGCCAGCCGCCGCUGUAA
rnacentral:rRNA from 1 species